rnacentral:pre_miRNA from 1 species
UUUCUACUCCCUCCGUCCCAAAAUAAGUGACUCAAGUUUGUACUAGCUUUGUACUAAUGCUAGUACAAACUUUAGUCACUUAUUUUGGGACGGAGGGAGUACAUG